AAAAAGACAAACCCUGGGUUUCUGUGUCUAACUUUGAUUGUCCGUCUUUAUGAAAUUUUUUUAUAAUUCGUAUUUUUAUUGUUGUUAGAUGAUAAAACAUGAUUAAUAUUUUAUGCGUGACUUGUAUUUUUAAUUUUUUUAUAAUUUUUUCAAAUAAAACGGAUGGUCAAACGUUGGACAUGAAAACCAAGGUUUGUCUUUUUU
rfam:Oryza sativa Japonica Group DNA, chromosome 2, cultivar: Nipponbare, complete sequence.